CCAACAUAAUAUGGCUCCCAUUUUGAACUCCCCCCAAAAAAAUUCUAUUAAACAACAGCAAAACUGUAGACGAACAAAUCAAAACCCUAGCUUCCAAUUUCACACCAAUGGUUUCCAACUCUUUGGCCACCAUCGUUCCUCUGCCCCUCCGUCUCCUAUCUCACUUUUGUCAGAUUAUGCAAAAGGAAGAAUCAAUGGAGUCCGUGACGGAGGCAAUGAGAUCUGCUUCGGUAAAUCAUACAACCCAUGAACGUUCGUCGUUUGUUGUGGUGUGUUUCCGUUCAAGUUCGGUCGAGUCAACACAACACUGACUCCGUCAUCUCUCUUUUGUCCAAUUUUUGGGUUCACAUGUCAUCUAUCGGUCGAAUCAAUGGAGUCCGUGGCAGAGGCAUGAGUGUAACGAUCUUUAGGUAAUUACGCUUCAUCGUCUUGUUGUUUUCGAGAGUUACUUCGAUUAACUUGAUUUUGCAACGAUUACAGCUAGUAUAAUUAGAUCAUUAACUUGAAUUUCUAUUGUAUUGUUGUAUAAGAGGCUCUCUAGAAACUACUAUCAGGAGAAGGCUGUUGAAUUUCGAUUAACCUGAUUUUGCAAUGUGACGAGCUUCCAUCUAUUGCUGUGGAUCACACACUGAACUUUAGCCAAGAACCGAACCGCCUCCGGCAGGAUACAAAACUCAAGCAGAUAUUUACAGCUGGCAGAGCAGGUGUUGAGGAACAAGUAAGACAACAAGGAGAAUAUGAAUCUCUCCACCAUGACUUAAAUAUUGGAUUCGGUGCAUGGUAAUUUGAUCCAACAGAAAUUGAGAACCCGUUUACAGAAAACGAAGGGUCCGUUCAUGUAUGGCAGGGUGAUGAAGAUAUUCUUGUGCCCGUGACACUGCAACGGUAUAUAGCCCAACAACUUCCAUGGAUAAACUAUCACGAGCUCACCGGUGCGGGCCACAUGUUCCCUUAUGCUGAAGGGAACAGUGAUGCAAUCCUAAAAGCACUUCUUCUUGGCCAAAGUUAGUUUAUAAUAUUGUUUUUGAACUUGAUUUCUAGCUUCCUAUUGUCUUAAGCAAACCAUUGUUAAGAUAAUACAAUAGAACCGUUAUAUUUAGCAUUAUCCUUUAGGGUUUGAAAUUAAUAGUCAAAACAUAUGGUAAUGUGUUCAUGUUA